rnacentral:rRNA from 1 species
GACAGAGGAUGCAAGUGUUAUCCGGAAUUACUGGGCGUAAAGCGUCUGCAGGUUGUUUAUUAAGUCUGUUGUUAAAUCUUGAGGCUUAACCUUAAAAUGGCAAUGGAAACUCUUAGACUUGAGUAUGGUAGAGGUAAAAGGAAUUUCCAGUGGAGCGGUGAAAUGCGUAGAUAUUGGAAAGAACACCGAUGGCGAAGGCGUUUUACUGGGCCUUAACUGACACUCAGAGACGAAAGCUAGGGUAGCAAAUGGG